rnacentral:rRNA from 1 species
GACGAACGCUGGCGGCGUGCCUAAUACAUGCAAGUUGAGCGCUGAAGGUUGGUACUUGUACCAACUGGAUGAGCAGCGAACGGGUGAGUAACGCGUGGGGAAUCUGCCUUUGAGCGGGGGACAACAUUUGGAAACGAAUGCUAAUACCGCAUAAAAACUUUAAACACAAGUUUUAAGUUUGAAAGAUGCAAUUGCAUCACUCAAAGAUGAUCCCGCGUUGUAUUAGCUAGUUGGUGAGGUAAAGGCUCACCAAGGCGAUGAUACAUAGCCGACCUGAGAGGGUGAUCGGCCACAUUGGGACUGAGACACGGCCCAAACUCCUACGGGAGGCAGCAGUUGGGAAUCUUCGGCAAUGGACGAAAGUCUGACCGAGCAACGCCGCGUGAGUGAAGAAGGUUUUCGGAUCGUAAAACUCUGUUGGUAGAGAAGAACGUUGGUGAGAGUGGAAAGCUCAUCAAGUGACGGUAACUACCCAGAAAGGGACGGCUAACUACGUG